rnacentral:rRNA from 1 species
CCUACGGGUGGCAGCAGUGGGGAAUAUUGCACAAUGGGGGAAACCCUGAUGCAGCGACGCCGCGUGAGUGAGGAAGUAUUUCGGUAUGUAAAGCUCUAUCAGUAGGGAAGAAAAUGACGGUACCUGACUAAGACGCCACGGCUAACUCCGUGCCAGCAGCCGCGGUAAUACGUAGGGGGCAAGCGUUAUCCGGAUUUACUGGGUUUAAAGGGAGCGUAGACGGGCUAGCAAGUCGGAUGUGAAAACCCGGGGCUCAACUUCGGGAGUGCAUUGGAAACUGUUGAGCUAGAGUGUCGGAGAGGCAGGCGGAAUGCAUAGUGUAGCGGUGAAAUGCGUAGAUAUUAGAAGGAACACCGAUGGCGAAGGUAGCUUACUGGACGAUGACUGACGUUGAGGCUCGAAAGCGUGGGGAGCAAACAGGAUUAGAUACCCGAGUAGUC